rnacentral:rRNA from 1 species
CCUACGGGAGGCAGCAGUGAGGAAUAUUGGUCAAUGGACGAGAGUCUGAACCAGCCAAGUAGCGUGAAGGAUGACUGCCCUAUGGGUUGUAAACUUCUUUUAUAUGGGAAUAAAAUGUUCCACGUGUGGGAUUUUGUAUGUACCAUAUGAAUAAGGAUCGGCUAACUCCGUGCCAGCAGCCGCGGUAAUACGGAGGAUCCGAGCGUUAUCCGGAUUUAUUGGGUUUAAAGGGGGCGUAGGUGGAUUGUUAAGUCAGUUGUGAAAGUUUGGGGCUCAACCGUAAAAUUGCAGUUGAAACUGGCAGUCUUGAGUACGGUAGAGGUGGGCGGAAUGCGUGGUGUAGCGGUGAAAUGCUUAGAUAUCACGCAGAACUCCGAUUGCGAAGGCAGUUCACUGGACUGAAACUGACGCUGAGGCUCGAAAGUGUGGGUAUCAAACAGGAUUAGAUACCCUAGUAGUC